GUGGGGAAUAUUGGACAAUGGGCGCAAGCCUGAUCCAGCCAUGCCGCGUGAGUGAAGAAGGCCUUCGGGUUGUAAAGCUCUUUUGUUGGGGAAGAAAAGCAUCCGAUUAAUACUCGGGUGUUCUGACGGUACCCAAAGAAUAAGCACCGGCUAACUUCGUGCCAGCAGCCGCGGUAAUACGAAGGGUGCAAGCGUUACUCGGAAUUACUGGGCGUAAAGCGUGCGUAGGUGGUUCGUUAAGUCUGAUGUGAAAGCCCUGGGCUCAACCUGGGAACUGCAUUGGAUACUGGCGAUCUGGAGUGCGGUAGAGGGUGGCGGAAUUCCCGGUGUAGCAGUGAAAUGCGUAGAUAUCGGGAGGAACAUCCGUGGCGAAGGCGGCCACCUGGACCAGCACUGACACUGAGGCACGAAAGCGUGGGGAGCAAACAGGAUUAGAAACCCUAGUAGUCC
rnacentral:rRNA from 1 species